CUGACACUCUGGCUAUAAGUCAGAGGUUCCCACAACCCCUUCCUUGGGUUCGAUUAAUUAGCUAGAGUGGCUUACAGAACUCGGGAAACUUGUUUAUUCACUACAUCACUGGUUUAUUACAAAGGAUAUUAAAGAAUAGGAAUUGACAGCCAGAUGAAGGGAUACAUGGGGUGAGGCCCCAAACGCAGAAGCUUCUGUCCCCGUGAGGUUUGGGGCACGACACAGUGGCACAUGGAGGCAUUCCGGUUUACCAACCUGGAAUCUCUGAACCCGGUCCUUUGGGGUGUUUCAUGGAGGCUUAAUUACAUGGUCAGGAUUAAAUUAUUGGCCAUCGGUGAUUGGACUCAGUCUCCAGCCCCUUGCCUUCCCUAGAGGUCAAGGAAGUAGGACUGAAAGUUCUAACCCUCUAAUCUCAUGGUGGGUUCUUCUGGCAACCAACCCCCAACCUUAGGUGUUUUCCAAAAGUCAUCUCACUAACAUAAAAAAGACAGAUUUAUCAUUUUCAACAUAGAAUAUUCCAAGAAUUUUCGGAGCUUUGUAGCAGGAGGGGCAAAAAGGCCAAUUAAGAUGGGUAUAGUAGCAUACUCAAUUAAGAUGGGUAUACUAGAUUUCUGUUGGUUAAUGUUUAAAUUGCCAUUUCCCCUAAUUUUCUGUAUCAAUAAACUUUACAUGUGUCUCUUUUAAGGUGCAUUUGAUGGAAUUUUUAUCUAGCCUGAUGUUUGCCUUUCGAUUUGGAAUAUUUCAUCUGCUUACAUGUAAUGGCAUUAACAUACAUAAUUUGGCUUAAACAUGUCAUCCUAAUAUUUGCUUUAUAUUUAUUUUUACCUGCUCUAAUUUCCUUUUCCUUUCCUUUCUUUUGAGAUAAUCAAUAAGGCCUAGGUUUGGUUUUCCUCAUACCCCUGUAGGCUUGACAAACACAGAGCUUCGUGAAUCUGUGACUUGAUGUCUUUGGUCACUUUUUAAACUUCCCAACUAUCAUUUAUUUAAAUAUAUCUUCUGUACUGUUGCCUUUCCUUUUUAUCUGGGACCAAUUGAACAUACGUUGUUAUUAUUUUCUACGACACCUUCAACUCUUGUCCUUUCUCUUUCAGGAUCCUCCAUCAUUUUGUCUCACCAGGCUUAAUGCUGGGUAUUUCUUCAGACUAAUUGUUUGUUUAUAGAAUUCUCCAUCCAGAGUACAUUGAUAGACAUCAUUCCUUUCAAAGAGGACCUAGAUACCUGGGUGUUUCCCAAGGAAGUAUGAAAGCUGAUAUAAACAUGGCAUUUCUGGCAUUCAUCUUCAUGAAUCCAUGAACAAGAGGGAGAAGCAGCAAUGGAUGAUACUUAUGUACAACCCCAAAUAAGAUAGUGUUAAAAAUAAAUUCAAGAGUUAUCUGCCUCGGUCACCUAAGGGUAGGUUCAGAGAAAUGAUGUAAAGGGAUAAGAGUAGAGGAUGGCUAAAAGCAAAGGUGAAAACUGCACCCAAGGCGAUGGAGCAACUUUCCACUGG